UAGACAGGGUGAAAAGCCCUAGAUUCUUUCUUCUAUGGAGUCAAUACUUGUUCAAUACUAAUAAUUGAAGGGCUCAAUUACCGCAUUUUAGCUUCGAUCCAUUCAUUGCCUUUGAAUCCCCUUGCUUUUCUUCUGAAUCGGUUUUGGGUGUUUGCAAACUUCUGAUAUUUCCAAUUCAAAUAAAACUGAGUGAGAUGCAGGACUCAACUACCAGGGCAUUUGAAAGCUCUUCUUCUUCCUCUGGAGAUGGG
rnacentral:misc_RNA from 1 species